rnacentral:rRNA from 1 species
UACGUAGGGGGCAAGCGUUGUCCGGAUUUAUUGGGCGUAAAGAGCGUGUAGGCGGCCAGGUAGGUCCGUUGUGAAAACUCGAGGCUCAACCUCGAGACGCCGAUGGAAACCAUCUGGCUAGAGUCCGGAAGAGGAGAGUGGAAUUCCCGGGUGUAGCGGUGAAAUGACGCAGAUAUCAGGAGGAACACCGGUGGCGAAGGCGGUUCUCUGGGCCUUACCUGACGCUGAGGAGCGAAAGCGUGGGGAGCAAACAGG